UUACGGUUUGGGAAUUCCAAAUCUUCAAUCAAUUUUCAAAAUCCACGGUGGAAUCUUGAGUUAUUUGAAAUUCUAGUUUGAAACCCUAGAGAGUGUUCUUGUGAAUUUUUGAUGAAAAUAUCAGUAAUAUGGUGUUUUGGAAUUGAAAUUCCGUGUUUAAGCUGAUAAGGGGGUGAAAAAUACCCAAUAUACCCUUAAUGAGACGGAGUUUAAAAUGCUGAAAUUUCCAGGUGCGUGCAGCGGAGCAUGCGUUGCAUACUUUAGUCCUCCGGACUUGAGCGUGCAUCGCAUGGUGCCAGGGGUGGAAUGGACCAUGCGACGCAUGCAAAUCGCCUGAUGCCACUGUUUUGGGCAUCCAAACGUACCCUAAACGAGGUCCAAAAAUCCCGAAACUCACCCAUUAUGUACUAACGACUUGCCCCAUCGUGAAUCAACAAAAAUAUCAAGAAACGGAGGUCGGGAAGGUUGUCAAAAAAAUCCGCAAAAAUUGAAAGCUCAAAAUGAGACUAAGUCUCUUUAACACUUAGAAAAAUUUCUAGUCUUUUCAACUCUAUAAGCAUACUACUAGGAGCUAACACAUGCACGAAUUUUAUAGGGUGUUACACUUUCCAUUGAAGAUUGCCCCAAAUUGAUGGUAUGGACUUCAUACACAUUACCUCUCCAGAUCCCAUUAUGUGAAAAUACACUGAGUAUGUUGUUGUUGUUGUAUCUAAUGCAUCAUAUUGAGCCCGACUAAUCUAGAUUUGCGUUAGAAAGUUGGUAACCCACAUUACAACCCGACCAAUCCAGAUUUGGGCUAGGAAAUAGGUACCCCACAUUGAAGACCGACUAAUUCGAAUUUAUGUCAGAAGUCCCACUAUGAAAGUAAAGCCACCUUACCACGUUACUGAACCAUUUUUCAAUUUGUGCGUGUUUAGGGGCCAUUGCUUGAUUUGCUUACUAAGGUUUUUUGUUUAAUGAACCAUUUUUCAAUUUGUGCAUCUCAUUAUCCUGCAGUGGCCAAUGCUCAUUUUUUUUACUAGUGUAUUUGGUUACUGAACCAUUUCUUGAUUAUUUUUUUUUUCUUAUUUGUAGAAGAAUGAAGGAGGAGAAAAGAAGAAGAAAGGAGGAGGAGAAGAGAAUAAGAAGGAUGGAGGAAACUUAAGUGUGGUUUUGAAACCAGAUUGUAAUUGUGAAGGAUGUGCUACAAAAGUGGUCAAAGCCAUUCGAAGUGUUGGAGUUGUGGAGAAAGUUAUGCGUGAUGUAGAUUCGAAGAAACUAACUGUGAUUGGAAAAGUUGAUCUGGUGAUGUUACGAGAGAAAGUUGCACAGGAAACACGCAAGAAUGUUGAAGUUGUCUCUCCGAUACCGAAAAAGGACGGUAAGGGAAAAGGAGGUGGCGACAAUGGUGGUGAUAAUGUCACCGGAGAGGAGAAGAAGAAGAUGCAGAAGCAGAACAAGGAAAAGGAUUCAAGGGAGAACACAGGAGGAGAAGAUAAAAAAACCAAAGAGAAAGAG